rnacentral:rRNA from 1 species
GAUCAUGGCUCAGGAUGAACGCUGGCGGCGCACAUAAGACAUGCAAGUCGAGGGGCAGCAUGGUCUUAGCUUGCUAAGACUGAUGGCGACCGGCGCACGGGUGAGUAACACGUAUCCAACCUGCCGUCUACUCUUGGACAGCCUUCUGAAAGGAAGAUUAAUACAAGAUGGCAUCAUGAGUCCGCAUGUUCACAUGAUUAAAGGUAUUCCGGUGGACGA